rnacentral:rRNA from 1 species
UACGUAGGGUGCGAGCGUUGUCCGGAAUUAUUGGGCGUAAAGAGCUCGUAGGCGGUGUGUCACGUCGGCCGUGAAAACCUGCAGCUUAACUGUGGGCGUGCGGUCGAUACGGGCAUCACUGGAGUUCGGCAGGGGAGACUGGAAUUCCUGGUGUAGCGGUGAAAUGCGCAGAUAUCAGGAGGAACACCGGUGGCGAAGGCGGCAUCCUGGACCAAUAUUGACGCUGAGGAGCGAAAGCCAGGGGAGCAAACGGG